UGCGUAGGCGGCCGCUUAAGUAGGGUGUGAAAUGUCCCGGCUCAACCGGGGAAUGGCGCUCUAAACUGGGUGGCUCGAGUGAGAUAGAGGUGUGCGAAACUUCCGGUGGAGCGGUGAAAUGUGUUGAUAUCGGAGGAAACACCAUUGGCGAAAGCGGCACACUGGGUCUUAACUGACGCUGAGGCACGAAAGCCAGGGGGAGCAAAC
rnacentral:rRNA from 1 species